CCCCAGAUGUUGCUGAACUACAACUCUCAUGAUUCCCUGGCUAUUUUUUUAAUUGAAAGAAUCAUGGGAGUUGUAGUUCAGCAACAUCUGGGG